UUUUCCAAAAACAUUUUUAAUAGAAAUCAUUAUUAAUAUAUUCUGCUCAAUGAACAUUAAAUAGCCGCAGUUAAUCUGUGCUAAGGUAGCAUAAUCAUUUGUCUUUUAAUUAAAGACUAGAAUGAAUGAAAUUACAUUUAAAUUCCUAUAUCAAAUUUAAAAAUUUAAAUUACUUUAAAUGUAAAAAAACAUUUAUUUAUUAAAAAGACGACAAGACCCUAUUGAACUUAACUUAAGUUAUACUGGGGCAGUAAAUAAACAAAAUUUUUAUUAUUUCUUAAACAAUUGACCUAAUAAAAUUAAUUUUAUGAUCAAGUUACCAUAGGGAUAACAGCGUAAUAUUUUUCUAUAGAUCUUAUAAAAAAAAAAGAUUACGACCUCGAUGUUGAAUUAAUAAUUCUAAUAAAUGCAAAAUUUUAAAAAGAAAGUCUGUUCGACUAUUAAAUUAUCACAUGAUCUGA
rnacentral:rRNA from 1 species